rnacentral:rRNA from 1 species
AGCGAACGCUGGCGGCAGGCCUAACACAUGCAAGUCGAACGAACUCUUCGGAGUUAGUGGCGGACGGGUGAGUAACACGUGGGAACGUGCCUUUAGGUUCGGAAUAACUCAGUGAAAUUUGUUCUAAUACCGAAUGUGCCCUCCGGGGGAAAGAUUUAUCGCCUUUAGAGCGGCCCGCGUCUGAUUAGCUAGUUGGUGAGGUAAAGGCUCACCAAGGCGACGAUCAGUAGCUGGUCUGAGAGGAUGAUCAGCCACAUUGGGACUGAGACACGUCCCAAACUCCUACGGGAGGCAGCAGUGGGGAAUCUUGCGCAAUGGGCGAAAGCCUGACGCAGCCAUGCCGCGUGAAUGAUGAAGGGCUUAGGAUUGUAAAAUUCUUUCACCGGGGACGAUAAUGACGGUACCCGGAGAAGAAGCCCCGGCUAACUUCGUG